UCUUCCACGCAGAACCAGCGGUAGACAGACCCUCCGCAUCAGCUUCCGGCCACACUCCCGCAGUCAGAGGGGCUGAGCCGAAGUCCUAAGGUUCCGCUUCGCGCAGAGGAUUCUGGACGCCGGGAAAUCCCGCGAGAGUUGAUCUCCUCGCGAGAAUGGACUUCCCCGAGAGUCGCUCUACUCCUAGCCGAUUGCUGCCAGGGGAGAGCGUCCGGGAACCGCGCUUUAAUGUUGAAUGAGAGUUUGUAGUAAAAUAAAAACUGAAAGAGACUCCAUUGUUAGAAGGCCAGAAAUCUAAUCAAGGAACGUCAGUCAUACGAAAACAAAAACAAACAAACAAAAGAAAGGACUGGCCCCAGGGACCAAGUACUGAAGGAACCUUGGAAGGGCUGUUGCUCCCUGGAAUCUUAAUCCAGAUUUUCAGAAAGUGAAUCUGGCUGGUGAAUGGAGACGUGUAAAAGUGUUCCUAGCAUUUAGGAGUGGUGAAACAGAGGAAUCCAGCCUAAGAUUGAACAGUUUAGGCAAGAGAACACGCCGUUACCAUUCGGCAAACAUAGGCUGAAAGUUCUUGUCAGGGCUUGUUUAUUGAACAGAAUUGGCUGCUUCCAUGAAUAAACACCUAAAAUGUGCAAGCGUACAUAUAUAGCUUAUCCAGAUAUUCUAGAAGCAACCAUCCAGCAUCAUCUUUGUCCUUAUUUUUCCACAAACUAUCAAAGUUCUAUAUAGAGAGAGAUCCAACAAGUCCAGGAGAGGCUUCAGUAACUGGAGAGACUUUGGUAACUAUAGUUGGCUGCCAAGCCUAUACCUAUAGCUUCAUUGACUGUGCUCCAUGAUCAGUUGACCAAGGAAGAGAAGACUAGUGUGUAGUUUACUGAUGGUUCAGCACCUUAUACAGACACCACUCACAUGUGGACAGAUGCAGCAUUACAAGCCCUUUCUGGGACAACCCUGAAAGGUAUUGGCAAAGGGAAAUGUUCAGCAGAAUGUCUAACUUUUAACUUGAUUACAAGUUUUCAUAUUAUCCCUUUGUAUUUUUUUAACAUCUUGACAAAUAUAUGCCAUUGGAGAGAUGAUUUUCUAGUUGUGAUGGUUAGCGUUAAUAAUCAACUUGACAAAGACCUGGACAAGCUAGAAGACAAGCCUCUGAGUAUACGUGUGAGAUCUGGAUUAGAUUAAUCAACUUGUGAAAACCCACCCAUUGUGGAUGACACCACUCCCUAGUAAGGGAUACUGGACUUUUUAAAGAGGAAAUGCUGUGCUGAGCAUAAAUAUUCCUUUCAGCCUGCUCCUUGGUAAUGGAUGCAUUGUGAAUAGCUCCCUUAAUGAUCCUGCUGCCUUUACUAGAAGAUGAAGUUUGAACACCUGGAACUGGAGUUACAAUCUGUUGUGAGACCCCCAAUGUAGAAGUUAGAAACUGAACCUUCUUUUCUCCAAGAGUAGUAAACUGUCUUAACUGUUAUAGACAUCGAUCCUGACCACAUCAAGCUGUUUUCAUCAGGGUGCUUUAUCAUACUAAAAAGAAAACUGAUGAAAACCCUGGUCAUGCUUGCUUGUGUUAUAAGUGCUUCUUACCUGGAUAUUCAUUUGUUACCCAGAUUUGGAUAAUUUUCUACUAUAAUUUAUUUUAUAAUUGCUCUAUGCAUUUAGUUUAAUCUCUGAUUCUUCUGUCCUGUAGAUUUUUAGACUUAGUAUCAUGACCAUUUAUUAAGGUUCUUGGACUUUGUACGUAUCCUACCUACCCACCCCUAAUAUUUAUGCUUGAAUAUUGUAUUUCAUAACCUUCUCCUCCAUCCUUACUUCUUACUCUUUAGUGAGCCUAUUGGUGAUACUUGUCAACGUUGUUUUUAUUUGAUAGAGUUCUUCUUUUUCUCAUUAAUUUAUUAUGCACUUAACAUUCUACUACCAGCCCAUCCAGUUCUCACAGUACCCCCUUUCCACUCUUUCCAUCUUUCCCCUUCUCCUCUAAGAGGGGAGAUACCCCUCUUGGUAUCUAUCACGUCACCAUUGAAUAUCAAGUCACUACAGGCCUAGGUGCAUCUUCUUCCACUGAAGCCAAAUAAUGCAGCCUAGUUAGGAGAAUGGGAUCCACAGGCAGACGACAGAUUCAGGAACAGCCCUUGCUCUGUUGUUUGGGGACUUGCAAGAAGACCAAACUGCAUAGCUGUUACAUAUAUGCAGGGGU